UCCCUCAUAGCUCAGUUAGUAAAGAAUCUGCCUGCAAUGCAGGAGACCUGGGUUCAAUUCCUGGUCGGGAAG
rnacentral:tRNA from 1 species